UGUGGGAUACUCAAGCGGUCAACGAGGGCAGACUGUAAAUCUGCUGGCUAACGCCUUCAGUGGUUCGAAUCCACUUCCCACAACCA
rnacentral:tRNA from 2 species